rnacentral:rRNA from 1 species
GACAGAGGGGGCAAGCGUUGCUCGGAAUCACUGGGCGUAAAGGGCGCGUAGGCGGGAUGGCAAGUCGGUCGUGAAAUCCUUCGGCUCAACCGAAGAACGUCGGCCGAUACUGCCGUUCUUGAGGGAUGCAGAGGAGAUUGGAAUUCCCGGUGUAGCGGUGAAAUGUGUAGAGAUCGGGAGGAACACCGGUGGCGAAGGCGGGUCUCUGGGCCUGACCUGACGCUGAGGAGCGAAAGCGUGGGGAGCGAACAGG